UACAGAGGGGGCAAGCGUUGUUCGGAAUUACUGGGCGUAAAGGGCGCGUAGGCGGCCCGCUAAGUCGAACGUGAAAUCCCCGAGCUCAACUCGGGAACUGCGUCCGAUACUGGCGGGCUUGAAUCCGGGAGAGGGAUGCGGAAUUCCAGGUGUAGCGGUGAAAUGCGUAGAUAUCUGGAGGAACACCGGUGGCGAGGGCGGCAUCCUGGACCGGCAUUGACGCUGAGGCGCGAAAGCUAGGGGAGCAAACGGG
rnacentral:rRNA from 1 species